rnacentral:rRNA from 1 species
UACGUAGGGUGCGAGCGUUAAUCGGAAUUACUGGGCGUAAAGCGUGCGCAGGCGGUUUUGUAAGUCUGUCGUGAAAUCCCCGGGCUCAACCUGGGAAUUGCGAUGGAGACUGCAAGGCUAGAAUCUGGCAGAGGGGGGGUAGAAUUCCACGUGUAGCAGUGAAAUGCGCAGAUAUCAGGAAGAACACCAAUGGCGAAAGCAGCUCUCUGGGACGGUACUGACGCUGAGACGCGAAAGCGUGGGGAGCGAACAGG